rnacentral:lncRNA from 1 species
UUGGAGAAACCGCAUUAUUAACACCAUCACUAGACAUCAUAGGGGCGAAUGGGGUGAUGGAGUUAAGAAAAUUAUGUUUUCUUGUCUUAGAACAAUUUCGAAAUCAUCUCUUGAUGUUGGCAAACGAAAACGAAUGACAGUUCUUAGGACGGAGGCACUGCUCUUCAAGAAGGCUGGUUGGUAAGUGUAAAAUGGUGUCUAUACCCGCCUCCAUUGGCUAGGCUCUGUUGUAGCACGAAGUUAGCCGAGCACCUUGAAGAGCUCGAGAAAAUUGAUUGUUUGCUUAUUUAUUUUAUCUAAUAUUUUGUAGGAGCUGUUUAUGAAUUCUGACAGUUAACACAAUUCAACAUGGCAUUUACUAACAAAUGGAUGGUUGUGAAACAGUUAUUUGUAUUUUGUGUUUUUAUAUGAAUUAGUGUAUUCGCAUUAUGCUGCAGGAACAAAAAGCCUAGCAGAACAUAAUUAGGAUAUUGCUGUUAUUAUUUUAAGCUGCUUGUCAAAAUCGAAAUAAAAAUAAAUGAUUGCCCUCUAUCCAUUAAACAUUCAUUACGAUGAAACUAGGUUCUCCGAUCUUGUUAGCAUUUUAGGUAAGGUUUCUAGAAUCACACCUGUUUUCACUAAUUAAUAACUAAAUAACAAUAGUUUUUUUUUAAUACACCUAGUAUUAAAAAAAACACUCAUUGGUAUUACCCAACAUUUUUAAAAUUCUUCUACAUUUUUUAUAUGUGAACGUUAUGUUUCAAUGUGGAUAUCAUUAAUUAUCGCUUUAAUGUAUAAAUAGGCGAAGCUCAGUUUAGUACCAUUUUCUUAUUUGUUUGAUACCUCAUUUUCAUUCUUUUUUUUGUUUUUAGAAUCUUGACGAGUUUCUGUGCUUAAAUAAACUUUGAAGUUUUUUAAAUGUUAAUUACGAAAACAAAGCAAAUUAACACGAUUGAAUGAGGAACUGAAAUAGAAUUUCAAUAUAUUUGUAUUAAAAAUAAACAGAAAAAAAUAUGAAAACAAUGUAAAGGUUAAUUCAAAUCUCGCUCACGCUACUUUAAAAGGAAAUUAAGCGUAAAUAUAUUCUUAUUAAGGGUCAUAGCAAACAUAUCAACUCUGAAAGGGAUCGUAACCGUAUCAACUCGUGCCAUUUAAUAUUCUUUGUAUGAAACUUCAUACGCAAAAGCACAUUAAUUUAAAUCGUAACGUAAAUGAUUCGUUUCGGUAUAAGUACGAUCCAUGGUGUGACGCGUGGCCUCUCAAAUGUAUUAAGUGUAUAAUCUAUGGUGUGGCCAACUAACUAGCAAUCCCCGCGUUUACGUCUGUCGGUCGCCGCGCUUGCAUUUCUUCGUCCACCAUUGCCCGUGUCAUAUCUUCCGCGGCCUGCCUGGAGUAAGCGCGGCGCGGCGGCGUCCGCGUCGCCUAGCUGUAGCCGUAUCGGAGCUGCUAAUCCACUUUGGUUACACUGUUUGACGGAAACGAAAGGCAAUACCGUGACGAUCGCUUUUCGAGUUGAUAUGUGUACUGUGACCCUAAAUCGCUUAUCGGACAACCUGGUAUCGUAUACACGUUCAAAUCAACCUUUCUUUUUAUAAGGUAUAUAAAAAUAGAUUGCCGCUGAUGGCGGUGUCUACGACGCAAGUUACUGGUGGUUAAGACUACAAAAACCUCCUCACAAUACGUGCAGUAUUGAAGAUAACAGCCUUCUGUAUCAGGCCCCUAACCCAGCUGGAUAACGAGAGUUUCUUAAGGUGUUGAUCGGAUCUUUUCGCUAUCGAACCGUGUACCGACAUACCUACUGGAACAAUGAUAGUUGAAUCAACAUGCCACAUGGCGGUAGUCUCGUGGGCCAGGUCUAAAUAUUUUAUUAAUUUGUCCUUUUCUGCCUUCACGAGGUUCUCGUCAUGAGGAAUGGUAAUAUCAACCAACACUGCUCGACAAGCCUACUUAUCACAUUAUCAGUCUUCAAUAAGCCUGAAAAUGCAAUGCCUACCAAUGCAACAAUAUAGCUAUCCGUGAUAAUAGAUCGGUCCCAUUAGAGCGUAACAUGACCAUUUUCAAGAAUUGGCUGAGGUUGGUAUUGAUAAUAAGGUACAGCAGCAGCAUAAUCAAGAAAAGUGUAUUUGAGAACAAGUUGUUGAUGGAUAAUCCUUGCAACUUUGUUAUGUUUAUUCAAGUAGGUACUCGCCAUUAGCAAAACGAGAACACCCAGAAACAAGAUGUCUAAUAGUCCCUCUCGGACGGUGGCAUGCCCGACAAAUGUCGAUCGUCCCAUUCUUUUAUUAUAUAUAGUUAGUAUAUAUUUAUUUUUAUAGUAAAUUAUUUAAAUUUAUUUUUAUAGUACUUUAUUUAAAUUUAUUUUUAAUAUCAAAUCGUCUAUAUAAUGUAUUUUUAGUUCAGAAAAUGCUAGAAGAUAGAAAAUGGAUCUCCAAAAAUGGCAAUGAAUAGUUUUAAGCUCUUUUUUAUUAAUUUCUUCCAUCUAUAAACCUUAGAAAUCGCGCAUAAUACGUGUUUGUACACUUUUUUUAUAAUAUACAUAUUAAUACGAUUUGACUAAAAUUGUCAAGGAAUCCGUUCUGAUUACAUAGUGAUCGGUAUUUCAUUUCUCAGUAUUCUUUUUUCAAAUGUAUUUUUGGGAAUUGAAAUACAUAUAAAAGAAGUUAAUGUACUUAAAAAUACUUAACGGUUUUGUGAGGUUUAGUCGUUUAACACUAAUUAUCGAAAUAAGUUACUGGGGUAAGCAUGGGUGGACUAAAUAAGUAAUAUAUCUAUAGUACAAGACAGAUUUUGGUUUGUGAUAUUUCCUAAAUCAUUUUACAAAUUUCGACGGGCGUUUUUCUCAUUCGUUUUUCACAUUGAAGUAUAUCAAUUAAUAAAGUUGUGA